rnacentral:rRNA from 1 species
UACGAAGGGGGCUAGCGUUGUUCGGAAUUACUGGGCGUAAAGCGUGCUCAGGCUGCGGACCAAGUCAGGGGUGAAAUCCUGGGGCUCAACCCCAGAACUGCCUUUGAGACUGGUCUGCUCGAGUGUGGGGAGGUGAGUGGAAUUCCCAGUGUAGAGGUGAAAUUCGUAGAUAUUGGGAAGAACACCCGUGGCGAAGGCGGCUCACGGGCCCGCAAAUGACGCUCAUGCACGACAGCGUGGGGAGCAAACAGG